UGGGCCUUGUAGCAGAAUCAGGGCCCCACCACGAUGGCCUGGACCCCUCUCCUCCUCAGUGUCCUCGCUCACUGCACAGGUUCUGUGGCUUCUUACGUGCUGACUCAGCCACACUCGGUGUCAGUGACCCUGGGACAGACGGCCAUUGUCACCUGUGGGGAAGACAACAUUGGAAGGAAAGCUGUUCAGUGGUACCAGCAGAAGCCAGGCCAGGCCCCUCUGCUGAUUAUCUAUACUGAUAGCAACCGGCCUUCAGGGAUCGCCGACCGAUUUUCUGGCUCCAACUCAGGGAACACAGCCACCCUGACUAUGAGCAGGACCCGGGCCGAGGACGAGGCUAUUACUGUCAGGUGUAG